rnacentral:rRNA from 1 species
AUUGAACGCUGGCGGCAUGCCUAACACAUGCAAGUCGAACGGCAGCACGGCAGUAGCAAUACUGUGGGUGGCGAGUGGCGGACGGGUGAGGAAUACGUCGGAAUCUGCCCAGUCGUGGGGGAUAACUAGCCGAAAGGUUAGCUAAUACCGCAUACGACCGAGAGGUGAAAGCGGGGGACCGCAAGGCCUCGCGCGAUUGGAUGAGCCGACGUCGGAUUAGCUAGUUGGUGGGUAAAGGCCCACCAAGGCGACGAUCCGUAGCUGGUCUGAGAGGAUGAUCAGCCACACUGGAACUGAGACACGGUCCAGACUCCUACGGGAGGCAGCAGUGGGGAAUAUUGGACAAUGGGCGCAAGCCUGAUCCAGCAAUGCCGCGUGUGUGAAGAAGGCCUCGGUGUAAG